rnacentral:lncRNA from 1 species
UUUUCUUUUUCCUUUUACUUUCUGAUUUAAUUUUUAAUGAUCCUUAAUUCAUUUUUGCUCCAAUUAGUUACAUUAAAUUGAAAGAAAUAUUUUGCAUCUCAUAUAUUUUUUGCAUAAUUUUUAAAAUCAUUUUUGCAUUUAAUGGGUAUUUUCCUUUAUUUUUUCAUUGAAUUUUGAUUUUCAAUUUAUUUUUUAACCACUUUAAA